rnacentral:misc_RNA from 1 species
AGCAGCCGCGGUAAUUCCAGCUCCAAUAGCGUAUAUUAAAGUUGUUGCAGUUAAAAAGCUCGUAGUUGAAUUUCGGGAUCAGUAUGUUGGUCGUGCUUCGGUACGUACUGUCAUUACUGGUUUCUACCUUCUGAAGAACCUUGAUGUCAUUAAUUUGGUGUCUUGGGGAAUCAGGACUGUUACUUUGAAAAAUUAGAGUGUUUAAAGCAAGCAUACGCUUGAAUACAUUAGCAUGGAAUAAUGAAAUAGGACGUUUGAUUUCUAUUUUGUUGGUUUCUAGGAUCGACGUAAUGAUUAAUAGGGAUAGUUGGGGGCAUUAGUAUUCAAUUGUCAGAGGUGAAAUUCUUGGAUUUAUUGAAGACUAACUACUGCGAAAGCAUUUGCCAAGGAUGUUU